UAUGCUUGUGAGAGUUUUUGCAUUUUUUCGUGAGAAUCCGCGGAACGCGUGUCGUGUGCGAAAAUGGGCAAUUACUUUUCACUUUGUCCUGAGCCCUUCCAUGGCCUCAUCAGCUCACACGGUAUAGGAUCGACGUCAAGCACACAUCCGUCUGGAGUGGCGGUGAAAGGCCAGGAAUAUUCCGCAGUGAAGCUGGUCGGGGAGGGCGGAUACUCUUUCGUGUAUGAAGGAUACAACAACGCCAGUGGACAACGGGUCGCGUUGAAGCGGUAUGUGUUUUCAGAAACGCAACAGCAGCAGGGAGCUGUUGAAGAGAUGAGCAUUUACCGCGAUGUCUGCCCCAAUGACUAUAUAGUAACGUACCUCGAUUCUGAAGUAGUUUAUCGACAUGGAGUGCCGUUGCCAGAGAUGUGGGUAGUGAUGGAGUUCUGUGACGGUCCUUCCUUGCAGGAGUACAUUAACAAUCGACUGCGGUCCCCUCAGCCUUUCUCGGUGCGUGAGGUGUUCGAAAUCGUCGACAAUAUUGUACAUGCAAUCGGCCACUUGCACUCACAAUCACCGCCUGUUUCUCAUUGGGACAUUAAGCCUGAAAAUUUCUUGUUUACCGAUACAGGCCGGCUGAAGCUAUGCGAUUUUGGAAGCGCAACGCGGCAGUUCUACGCACCCACGUCAGCGGAAGAGGUAUCUGCUGCUGAGUCAGAGUUGGGAUCAAGGAUGACGCUUCUCUACCGACCGCCUGAAUCACUGGACCUGUGGUCGAAGGAUCGCGUCGACACCAAAGCUGACAUCUGGGCACUUGGUGUCAUCAUUUAUGUGCUGGUGUUUCGCGAGAUGCCGUUUGACGCAAACCCGAUGGAGGUCAUGGCGGCAGUGCCGAAGCGAUACAAGGGCAAAACACAGGAGGGCUGCCCCGAGGAGUUUAGGGCUCUCAUGGACAUUGUGCGCACGAAAAUGCUAACUAAAAAGCCUGCGGAUCGUGCUGACAUAUUUGCCAUUUCUGAAGAGCUGGAAGGCAUCACGCACCUGCCGCCGCUUUCGCGCCCGCGGCCCGGGUUCCAGAGCGCGCAGCGACCGCGGUUCGCUUGAAUCCCAAGGGUUUGCGUGAGCUUGGACAUUCGAAAACCGUAGUGGGCGCCCUUCGAGUUACUGUGCUGUGCGUAAAUGUAUCAAAGGGAAGUCGCUACCUUCAUUGCUUUUCGAUCUGCUUUUGCCCUUAUACGUGAAAGGGUAAAAAUGCUGUUUUUAUUGCUUGCUAUGUACUUUUUUGGCUGAAGUCUACUUUGACAUGGUAGACGAAAAGGCUGACGGACUUGAGCAACAGUUGAUGAUAGUGUGUGAACAGGUGGAGCUUAAAAUGCCGCAGCCGGACUUGAACGACUCAAGCGGAUGCCACAGUUUUUUUUUUACUGUUCAACGUGCCUAUCCGGCCAUGCAACAUGAGCUCAACUCCAGUCUGCUUGCGCUGGCACGGCCCUGUUGCGUGGUGCGAUGCAGUCGUAGGCACGCGGCACAGCAAUGCACCGACUCCGUCAUCUGAGCACGGCCUCCACCCGCAACUCUGCACCCCACUCGCUUCGCUGGCGGCUCCGACGCAACGCCAUCCAGGAGCUGACCGCCGGCAUCAGCAGCGUUGAAUUGCUCUGGCUCGCCCAUGUCUUAGGUGCCUGACCCUGUCACCGCCUCCAGUGGCCGUGCAUUGGCAGGAGCAGGGGCUGCCUGGCUUCCCCACACAGAGUGGGGGUGCCGGACCUAGGUGCCCCGCGCUGAGGUCUCUCCUGUCAUGAGAGUGGGCACAACAGGCCAUUGCACAGAAACACGGGACUGGAUGGGGUUUUCAAGGUUUCUUUGCGUAAUACUGCGUGCUGAGGGAGGUCAAAUGGAAGCCGAGAAUAAAUACCUACGAUAAAUGUCUUCAUGGACUUCCUGUCUUUCUCUCUGCUGCUCUUGGCUUUCAG
rnacentral:misc_RNA from 1 species